AACACAAACACAGAAAGGAAAGAAAGGGAACAGGGGGAGCUCGAGGGGAGAAACGGAGAACAGGGAGAGAGUGUGAUGGAACAGAGUAAGAAGAGAGGAAGGAGGAUCGCUAUUGUCUCUGGUAGGUUGUCACUGACGUCGAACAGAACAGGGGAGAGGAGCGCGAAUUGGAAGAGGAAAGGGAGCUCUGUUAUGGGCUCGUUGCCAGGAAAAGAAGAGGCGAUGUUGGUGGGGAUCGCCGCUGGUGUCGUCGCCGUGACUGGGGUUCGUGGUCGCUACUGCUGUUGGUGACGGACUAGGUCGCGUCCUAGCUGCCGGAGCCGCCAUCACCGUGGCUUUGUUACUUUGGGUCAACCAUGUCUCUGCCUUUGAUGUACCUUGUCGUGCCAUAUCCGUUGGAGCUGCCGUGGUUGGAGCUGGCUAUCAGAGAAAACAAUUUGCUGCCACCAUCUUUCAAUCUGGCCAGCAUCAUCCUCUUUGUUCCAGUCCCAAUGCCAAUUUUCUGUUUCUUAAACCUUUGUCAAUUUAUCUCCUGAGAAAUCACAAUUGGUGUUGAGGUCGUUGAUGUUGCUGCUGUUAUGCUGUAGCUAGCUGCAAGAGUUUUACUGCUGCGGGUUAGAAAUUGAUGGUUGCUGCAUCCCAAAAUUCUGUGGAUUUCGAUAAAUCGAGUGACACAGGUUUGAAGACGCAAUUUGAAGCUGCGUGCGAUUAUGACACAGGUUUGAAGACGCAAUUUGAAGCUGCGAGCGAUUAGUAGGUUUUCUUUAUGAUUUUAAUUGCUUUCAUAGAGUCCCCUCGCUCUUGUCCUUUGAGGUUUUUAUUUUAACAGAGGGGUAGGUGUUGUAGUUGGGUUUAUAUGACUUCUUAUGUAUAAGAGUUACUAUUAAUAAUACUUAUAUGAUUGUUAUUAUUAUUUGCAAUGCUUAUCUUUGAUACAUGUCUUUAAUGAAUAAAAACAAAUUUUCUGGAAUUUUCUUAAAACUAAAACGCAAACUUGAUACAAAGGCUCGAUAAGUAAGUAGUUAAUACUAGAGAAGGUUACGUAAUGUUCGUUCUAGUAGAAAUACCCUGACUUAAGCAAGGUAUUUUGCUGGAAGGGAUGUUACAGUUAACACCAUUCAAGCAUAUCCUUGCACAAAAACACCACAGACACAUGCCUUAAGACUCAAACUAUUGGUGCCUAACUUGUUAUUCCUUGUUUCUUUCAUUUUUGUUGCCAACUUUUGGCUUUUCUUUCUUCUAAGGAUGUUUAUUCAUUAAGGUUCCACAAUCAACAGCCAAGAUCCCACUACAAAGAGACAUUCUAUCUUUCAUACAUUAUUAGUGAGCUAGAUACACAAUCAGGCAUAUAUACCACCACUUAAUCUUAUUUUGUUUCCUACUAAAUUGAACAAUUUCACUUUAUGUUUCAAUAAUUUUCUUUUAUUCAAUUGAAAACAAAGAGACAAGACAUACAUUUUAGCAAGAUGAAGUAAAACCAGGCACUCAGACUAGCACUUAAUUAAAAACAUGAAACAAACACAAUUCAAAAGAUUUCAACUUAAAGUGAACAAAACAUGAAGACAUACUCUUUCUUAUUGAUGAACAAAGAGCAACACCACCUUUCAUUCCUUUGGUCGCUUUUCCUUGCUUAAUUCUCCAUUCUUCUUGGGGUCUUGCUUCUUUUUGUUUCUUCUUUCUUCUAGUUAUUUUUCAGUUCCAAACAACUCCUUAUCCCACAGUCCAGAAUCUCUCAAACUUUGCUGCAUCCUUUCUUCAUUUCUUUUACAUCUUGCAAAUUAUGCAUCCAUUGGUUGAAUGACCUUUUCAUAUGCUGGGAUUCUUUGAUUUAGGAAGGGUAUGCUGCCCACUAGGUAGCUAAGCUAUGCUUGAGUGUCUAGAUCAUAUUCCAUCUUAUCCCUUUGCCUAGCUUCUCCAACACUAUGGUGCACAUUCUUCCAGUUAAACAUGUUCAGGAUGUAACCUUGUUGCUCAUCUUGUUGUUUGGACAGCUAGUUGAAAGAUUCUUGAAAUUGUGUAGAUUGUUCUAUUUGCAUAUCCAUGAAUCUUGACUGAAAAUCUUUUUGCUGGUCCAUCAUCCUCAACUGGAGCUCCUCUAGUCUUUCUUGAGCUUUCAUAUAUUGUGAAUGGAACUCUUCUUAUUUUUCUUGAGCUCUUAUAUGCUGUAGGGAUAACCUUUCAAUCACUUCUUGCAUUUGGCUUAUGUCCAUGUUGGGUUGUUCUUGGAAUUGUUGCUCUUCUUCUUGUUCUUCUUGUUCUUCUUCCUGUUGUUCUUCUCCUUGUGGUUCCUCUGUCCUUUGUCUCCUUUGUGGUCUUCGAUGUUGUUGGACAACUGUAACAUUCAUCAUUCUUUCUAAGGUCAUUGGCAUGCCCGGAUUAAGCCAAAUUGGAUUUGCAUCCUCUAGUGGCACCCUGGCUUUUAUGCAUAACCGCAUGAUGGUGCUGGGGUAGUGGAGCCAGGCUUCAGCAGAACUUUUCUCUGAGAUCUUUUGAAUGUCCUUUGCAAUGAUCUCAUGGACUUUUAUCUCCCCUCCUACCAUAAUGCAGUGCAGUAUUGUGGCCCUUUUCUUGUUAACUUCUUGAUGAGAGUGUGUAUUGUUCUAUUCACAAAUAUUGAGAAUUUGGGUGCUACUCAUGUGAGUUAUGAAAAUCAUAUGCAUUGAUUUACUAUGCAUAAAAAAAAGGGGGAGGGGAAUAAGAUCACCCCAAAGUUGAAUUCAAUAAAAAGAUCAAUGCAUAUGAGAUGAAAUAAAAGAACAUUUAAAUACAUGAGUAUGUGAAACAUACAAAAGUGAGAUCAUGGGUAGCUAGGCAUGAUUUUAGAAUUACAUAGAGUGUGUUUAUGUGUUAGGUUAGAACUUAGGUUACUCAAAGAUUCAAUUCAUAGCUCACUUGGCCAUACAUAUAUUCUCACCCUUACUUUAGCCCCAUUAUAACCUUGAAAAGACCUCAUGAUGUUUGCAUUUGUACACUAAAUAUUUGUUGAUUGGUUAGAUGAAUAGCAAAGUUUUAGAGAGCAUGACUAGAAAAGGCUAGAGUGAAUCAACCACUAAACACUUGAGUGACUAGAGCGGAUACACAUCCGGUGAGGGUUCGAUUGCUCAAUCGCAUGUAUUCACCACUAUCUUCUAUGUUCUUGCAAGUUUAUAAAUCCUUUUGAUAAUUCAAUACAAUUUUGGGUUGGAUUUAAUUCAUAUUGCUUUAGCCCUUAUGCUUACAUAUGUUCUCUUAAAGGGUUGAUUUGUUUUGGCCUAAGCAUUUACAUUCAUGAUAAGUAGUUGCAUUUAGAUAAUUUGCAUAUAGUCUAGUUGCAUUGGAUAAAUGUCAUACUCCUUAUUUCGUUCUUAGUUUAGCAUGAGGACAUGCUAAGGUUUAAGUGUGGGGAGGUUGAUAAACCCCAUUUGUCGGGUUUAUCUUGUGCUGAAUCUAGAGUAUUUUGUCAACCUUUCCUCACAUUUACUCAAUGAAAUAGCAUAGUUUUGUGAUUAUCUCAUAAUUUGUGCUUAAGUGUGAAAAUAUGCUUUUAGAUCCUUAAUUUGAUAAUUUUAAUCCCCAUUUGAUUCCACAAGAUGCCUUGAUAUGUUUCUUAGUGAUUUCAGAUUGAAAAGGGCUAGGAAUGGAUCAAAAGAGUGAAGAGAAAGCAUGCAAAAGGGAGAAAUCAUGAAAAGCCAAGGAUUUGGAAUGUGCUCAUGGACGCACGCACGCACAAGACGCGUGUGCGCGGAUCGCGCACUACUCUAGGGACACGUAUGCGUGCUAUGCACGUACGCGUCGAUGUCCACGCUGACACCUUUAAUGAAAUCGCGCCUGGCGAUUUCAGGAGGGCUUCUGGCCCAGUUUUCAAGCGAAUCUUUGGUGGAAAAAUGCUAAAAAAGGCCAAGGACUGAAGGGGGAAGGCAUCCAUCAAUCAUACACUUCUUAUUCACAUAAUUUUAGGUUUUAGAUGUAGUUUUGUAGAGAGAGAGGCUCUCUCCUCUCUCUAAGUUUUAGGGUUUAUCUUCGUUUUAGAUUUAUUUCUUCUCAAUUCCAGGUUCGAUGUUCCUUUAAUUUAGUUCUCUUAUAUUCUUAUUUAUUCUAGUACUUUGGAUUCUCUAUUUUUCCAAUUUAGUUUAUGGAUUC